UGCAAGUCGAACGGUAACAGGUUAAGCUGACGAGUGGCGAACGGGUGAGUAAUGUAUCGGAACGUGCCCAGUCGUGGGGGAUAACUGCUCGAAAGAGCAGCUAAUACCGCAUACGACCUGAGGGUGAAAGCGGGGGAUCGCAAGACCUCGCGCGAUUGGAGCGGCCGAUAUCAGAUUAGGUAGUUGGUGAGGUAAAGGCUCACCAAGCCGACGAUCUGUAGCUGGUCUGAGAGGACGACCAGCCACACUGGGACUGAGACACGGCCCAGACUCCUACGGGAGGCAGCAGUGGGGAAUUUUGGACAAUGGGCGCAAGCCUGAUCCAGCCAUGCCGCGUGCGGGAAGAAGGCCUUCGGGUUGUAAACCGCUUUUGUCAGGGAAGAAAAGGUUCUGGCUAAUACCUGGGACUCAUGACGGUACCUGAAGAAUAAGCACCGGCUAACUACGUGCCAGCAGCCGCGGUAAUACGUAGGGUGCAAGCGUUAAUCGGAAUUACUGGGCGUAAAGCGUGCGCAGGCGGUUAUGCAAGACAGAGGUGAAAUCCCCGGGCUCAACCUGGGAACUGCCUUUGUGACUGCAUGGCUAGAGUACGGUAGAGGGGGAUGGAAUUCCGCGUGUAGCAGUGAAAUGCGUAGAUAUGCGGAGGAACACCGAUGGCGAAGGCAAUCCCCUGGACCUGUACUGACGCUCAUGCACGA
rnacentral:rRNA from 1 species